GGAUGUGAGGGCGAUCUGACUGCUACAUGUCACCCCACUGAUCGCCAGGGUGGAUUUGGCUGAUCUGGCUGGGUCCCUUUCCUCCCUCAACACUCCAUGUGCGUCCCUCCGGAAGCUGUGCACUAGGUCGAAGAGGACGGCAUUCCCUGAAUAAUUAUCCUUAACAUAAAGGAUCCAUAUAAGAAACUCUCUUACCUGGAAACUCAGGGUUCAAUUCGCAAACUAAUUCUAGCUCCUAUGUAGAAAUCCAUGUCUAUUUAGUAUUUUCU
ensembl:misc_RNA 7SK 7SK RNA